GCAAUAUGGUAAGACCAUACCAGGUUUUUCCCUUUCACUCACAUAUCACUGAGUUUCUGCUAUGCUUUUUGGCAAUGGUAAAUAUUGUGUUCUGGGAACAUAAUUUUGCCAGUGAUAAUUACUUUAGGGGGCUGAAGAUUAGAUUGUUUUUCAAAUUUGUGUGUGGCCUAGGGAACAUCUGUACAUAUGAAGCAGAAGGUUAUCUCCAAUAUUUUGCUAACUAAAAAAACUUGUAUGUUCUAUUAACUCUUCAGGCUCUUAGAAAUCUACAGUGUCAGUGGACUUUCAUUUUCAGGAAAAUUGAAUGGAAAUACUUUUUCUCUAUUACCUGUGCUAAGUAAAAUUAAAACUCUGGAUAUUGUACAUAAAGCAAGCAUAAGAAGACUCUGAGCAGACCAGCUAGAAACCUCGGAUCCUGAGGAAUGACAAGGUGACCAUAGCAGGCAGAGGAGCAGAAGAACAGAGCAGCAGACACCAGCAGACCUGCAGACCAGCAAUGGCGGAAUGUUGCGGAAGAGAAAGCGAGAAGAGGAGGGACAUCUGGACACUGACGGGAAUUCCGCCAGGGGCCGUCAGAGAAGAGUCUGGCCACUAGGUGGCCCAACUCCAGGGGAAGACCAGCUUCCUACUCCAUUUCCUCCUUCUGGCUCCCUGUCCAUCUUGCUGAGAGCCACCUCCACCACUCAAUCAAACCUUGCACUCAUCCUUUGAGCCCACGUGUGAUCCGAUUUUUCUGGUACACUGGGCAAGAGCUCAGGAUACAGAAAGCUGUCACACUGGCCCUCUGCCCUUGUCUUAAGGCAGAGGGUCUAUUGAGCUGAUUAACACAAGCCAUCCGCAGACAGCAAAGCUGAAAGAGCACACUGUAACACACGCCCAUUUGGGCUUUGGGAGUCGCAGACACUCACCCCUUGAUGCUGCUGUGGGGAUGGAGCCCAAAAGCACUCCCUGCAGCCUCUGCACCUGUUUGUCUGCAUGCUCUUGCUAGGGUUUUAAGCAGCAGGGUGACAGGUCAGUACAGGAAAAGGAUGAUAAAGCAUGAAAAAAGGAACUUUACAGGUGAGGAAACCUGAAUGACUGUAUUAGCUCAUUCUCAUACUGCUAUAAAGAACUGCCCUAGACUGGGUAAUUUAUAAAGAAAGGAGAUUUAAUUGACUCACAGUUCUGCAUGGCUGGGGAGGUCUCAGGAAACUUACAAUCAUGGCGGAAGGGGAAGAGGCAUGUCUUAAUGACGGCCGGCAAGAGAGAGUAUGGAGGAGGAGGAACGGUCAGACACUUAUAAAACCAUCAGAUCUCAUGAGAACUCACUCACUAUCAUAAGAACAGCAUGGGGGAUAACGCCCCAUGAUCCAAUCACCUCCUACCAGGUCUCUCCCUCAACACGUGGGGAUUAUGGGAUUACAAUUCAAGGUGAGAUUUGGGUGGAGACACAAAGCCUAACCAUAUUAAAGACUAAGAAAUGUGAAAAUAAAUUUGAUAUUUCUAGGAACUGGAUAAAUGAAGGUUACAACAAUGAGAUAUUCACGAUCAGUUAGGAAAGGAUUAAAACAAGUACUGAGACAAACAGAGGCUAAGUUUUUAUACCAAUAAUGGGAGUCUAAAUUGAUAUAACAACUUUGGAGAGUAAUUUCCCAAUAUUUGAAAAACAGUGUUGAUGCACACGUCUGAUAUCCUUAGUCAUUCUAUGUUUAGAUACCUGUCCCCAUCAAAUUCUUAUAUAUGGACCAGUUAAUUACUGGGAGGCAACUAUUCAUGGGUCUCUCAAGUUUCUACAUAUUUGCAAGCAA
rnacentral:lncRNA from 1 species